rnacentral:lncRNA from 1 species
CCUGUUCUGAACACUAAAAUUCAUCAGUCUUAUAUUUCCUCCUCCUUCAUAAUUAUGACUUGUUUUUGCUGGCCUAACAGUUUUCCAUUCUAAUCAAGCUUUAUCAUGGGCUGUGGGCUGAAUUGCUCUGUGAAAGACUGAUUUGCUUCCAGAUUCUAUAAUCUAUCCCUUUGAAGGCUAGAGAUUGAAGUCAUUAAGGCACUGCUGUUGCCCUUGAUCUCUGCUCAAAGAGGAUAGAGAUUGAUUAGUUGACAGUCGUUGACCUGGAUGGCUCAAAAUGAAGUAGUGAUGAAGCAAAAUCAAGUGCACAGAAUAUUUGAUAAUGUCAUUUAUUAUGUGUGCAUUUUUUUCAGCCUAUUUUCUCUUUGAUUUUUUUGGUU